rnacentral:rRNA from 1 species
CCUACGGGAGGCAGCAGUAGGGAAUCUUCCACAAUGGGCGAAAGCCUGAUGGAGCAACGCCGCGUGGGUGAAGAAGGCCUUCGGAUCGUAAAACCCUGUUGUUAGAGAAGAAAGUGCGUGUGCGUAACUGUUCACGUUUCGACGGCAUCUAACCAGCAAGCCACGGCUAACUACGUGCCAGCAGCCGAGGGAAUUCGGAGGGGGCAAGCGUUAUCCGGAUGUAUUGGGCGUAAAGGGAGCGCAGGCGGUCUUUUAAGUCUGAUGUGAAAGGCUUGGGCUUAAACGGAGUAGUGCAUUGGAAACUGGGUGACUUGAGUGCAGGAGAGGUGAGUGGAAUUCCAUGUGUAGCGGUGAAAUGCGUAGAUAUAAGGAAGAACACCAGUGGCGAAGGCGGCUCACUGGACUGUAACUGACGCUGAGGUUCGAAAGCGUGGGUAGCAAACAGGAUUAGAUACCCUAGUAGUC